CAGCACUGAGAAAUGGAGAAAGAUAUGGAAGCAAUUUGUGUGUCUGUGUGUCAGUGUAGGUAUGUGUGUAUAUCAGUGUUUGUCAUUGUGGGUAUACGUGUAUGUGCGUGACAAUGUGUAUGUGUAUCUGUAUGUUAGUGUGUAGCCACAGUUGUGUAUGUGGACAUACAUCCUAGCAUUCAAAUUCAAACAUUAACACUACAUACAAACACACUGUUAUACUCAAACGUCAAC